rnacentral:rRNA from 1 species
AUUGAACGCUGGCGGCAGGCCUAACACAUGCGAGUCGAACGGUAACAGGAAGAAGCUUGCUUCUUUGCUGACGAGUGGCGGACGGGUGAGUAAUGUCUGGGAAACUGCCUGAUGGAGGGGGAUAACUACCGGAAACGGUAGCUAAUACCGCAUAACGUCGCAAGACCAAAGAGGGGGACCUUCGGGCCUCUUGCCAUCGGAUGUGCCCAGAUGGGAUUAGCUAGUAGGUGGGGUAACGGCUCACCUAGGCGACGAUCCCUAGCUGGUCUGAGAGGAUGACCAGCCACACUGGAACUGAGACACGGUCCAGACUCCUACGGGAGGCAGCAGUGGGGAAUAUUGCACAAUGGGCGCAAGCCUGAUGCAGCCAUGCCGCGUGUAUGAAGAAGGCCUUCGGGUUGUAAAGUACUUUCAGCGGGGAGGAAGGGAGUAAAGUUAAUACCUUUGCUCAUUGACGUUACCCGCAGAAGAAGCACCGGCUAACUCCGUG